rnacentral:rRNA from 1 species
UACGUAGGGUGCGAGCGUUGUCCGGAAUUACUGGGCGUAAAGAGCUCGUAGGUGGUUUGUCGCGUUGUUCGUGAAAACUCACAACUCAAUUGUGGGCGUGCGGGCGAUACGGGCAGACUGGAGUACUGCAGGGGAGACUGGAAUUCCUGGUGUAGCGGUGGAAUGCGCAGAUAUCAGGAGGAACACCGGUGGCGAAGGCGGCCCCCUGGUUGGAUACUGACGCUGAUACGCGAAAGCGUGGGGAGCAAACAGG